UGUCAGUCCACUAGCCAUUGUCAAAGCAUUGAAUACUUUGGGCUUGCCAGUUAUCAGCACAACAACACAAUGAUAUUAGAACCACGCAGUUUGUUUCAUUGUUUUUCUUGAAAUAUAAGCGUUGCCUGCCUUAUCAUCAGGCGCCGUAGGCCUAGUUCGUGCAUGUCAUAUCCUCGUUGACAUUGGCCUAAAUAUAUGUGUUAGCAAACAUAGUCCACAACAGGAAGAAUCUGCUCCACUACCAACUUUUAUUUUGCUGCAUCAAUUCUUUAAAACCACGAAACUGUUACUUUUCCUUAUUUCUCUGCUGCUAUAUUUCUUGCAGGGUAACAUUUCACGAAAUCCCUUUCCUCAUGAACUAGCAGCAUAUUUCCUCUUCAGUCUCACUUUUUGAACACGAACAGGGAAACGAUGCGAUCAAGGUCAUGGUCAUGCCAUUCCAAAAGUGCAUGACUAAAACAUAAUAAUCAUCAUGUUUUCAUGGCUCUUCCUAUAGACCAAUUCGACUUACGGCCUCAUUUUGAAAAAUUCUUCAAAUUAUUUUGUACAAAAUGUUUGACCUCAGAUUCGGAAUGCGAGCAAUGAUUUUAGUAUACUUGGAAGAUUUCAUUAUGAUAUUGCUCGCGAUAUUGAUUUUAUGACGACAAAAAGAUAAAAAGUUAUAAGGGAUUUGACCGUGAUUUGCGACUAGGGGGGUAAAGUUUUGUUGUAUAGCUAACAUUACGUCAUUGGACGACAAGAUUACGAGAGAUUGCACCACGACAUGCAACUCAAAGCAAGUUACGUCAUUGUAUAUUUUGGCCAUCAGGGAUUGCACCACGAAGUGCAACUCGAAGAAAAACCUUAUGAUUGGACAAAUAGUAACAAAAACCAUUUUCGUAUAACUAGGUUAGGAGAAAUUUUCAAAACGACGCCGUAAGUCGAAUUGGUGUAUUGUUUCGCAUGGUUUUGCAUGACCAAACAUAGGGUUUUAGUCAUGCACAUUUGAAAGUGCAUGACUAAAUUGGAAUCCCUGUGAUAAUUGCAUGACUAAAUUGGAAACCCUAGAGCUUUAUAGAGUUUCAAAUGUAGAAAUCCUUUGUUUGCGCCCACGGAGUUACAUAUAAGUACGCAAAGAACCGGUGAGAAAAGAGUUGAUUGGCUAGCUCCGUUCGUGACAAUUCUAAUUUACGAACCCACCGGUGCUUGGAAUAGCAUGGAACAAUUGGAUUGCAUUGGAAGAUGAUAUUGUCAUCCGCAGUCUAAUUGGUCAGCACUUUCAUUCUACCAGAAUUUCGUUCCGGUGAAUAUGCCACGAUUGUAAACAUUAACGCAACAAAAGAAAAUUCUUUGGAUAAAAGGAUAUUUUUCAUGCAAAAUAGAUGAAAACAUCGAAUCAGUAGAAAUCUUUAGCUUUUUUCGGAAACACGCAAAGGAACAGGUACAAGGAACAGGUGCUCAAGCACCCUUUGCACCCCCUGGAUGCCACUCUUGGUGACAAUAAUAUCCCCUUUAUCUGCCAACAUGACAAUGCUUCUCCACAUGCUGCAAGAUACACCAUGAUUUUUCUCCAACUCUGUGAGAUCCAGCGACUCAGAUGGCCAUCCCAAAGUCCAGAUCUGAAUCCCUUUGAAAACGUGUGGGGUUUUAUAAAACGCAAAUUGAAGGAUAAUUCUCCUAGAAAUACGGCUGAACUCAUCAAAAAAAUAUUUGAAAUAUGGGAAAAUCAGUACAUCAAACGCUUGUACCAAUCAAUUCUAUCCAGACGUGCUGCUGUGAAGAAAUGCCGUGGCUAUAUGACCAAGUACUGAAAGAUAUUUCUGCUUAUAUGCACGUUUAAGAACUGUUGAAAUGUUAUGAUUGUUUUACAAUCGAUCGGUGGCAUCUACAUGCAAAUAUUUUUCCCAACUGAGAGGAAACACGUUGUAUUUCUCUUUUUUCGAAAAUAUUUGUUUCUCAAGAACGAAUUUGUAAAAAAUUACACUGUUUCAUUGGUCAAUUUAAACUUGACUUCUUACCACCUGACUUUCCUGCGCUUUGUGAUUUGACAUCAGUUGAUUUGCGUUACGUUGUGGGGAAUUUCAAUUUUUUGAACGCUGCGUAGUAGCUUUAUGUUUUUGGUUCUGUUGCUAGUGAUUGAUGUUUGAUGAGAGAGACGGGAAGAACAAACGCUGAGACGUGACUUAAUAAAAAAAGUCCACUGGAAAUGCUUAUCAUGUACCAGAAAUAGCACUGGAUUUGCCUGCAGUUGAUGCCAGAGAACUUGGUGAAGAGGAAUCUGAGAUUGGUGGUUCUACUGAACAUGAAGAUAGUGGAAAUUAAGAGGCACAUUUGAAAGGGUAUUGUGGAGGCAACCCCUAAAAGCCUAUUCCAGCUCACAAUGUUGCAGAAACUGGGCCAGUUAUUGUCUGGGGAAAAGGACAAGAGCCGAACAAAUCUCUGGACUUUUCUCUUCUGUUCUUUCCUUUCCAGCUAAUGCAAACUAUUGUGAAUAAUUCAAACUUGUAUGCUGUUCAUGGUGAAGGGAUUGGCAAAAGACAUGCGUCACUUUGCAUGCAAGUGACAACACAAAAAGACCCACAAGGUCCAUGUUUGCCUGUGUUGAGUGUGGCAUUCCUCUGUGUAUUGAUGAAAGGGAUUGCUUCCUUUUCUUUCAUUCUGCAGAAUUCAGCAAAUACAAGGAACAAUACUUGGAGCAUUGUCGUCAUAGUUGACUUUUUAUUUCCUGACACUUAUUUUAUAUCUUUAAUUGAUAUUUGCUAUAACAGGGGUUUAUGACUAACUGUGAACUGUUAUCAUUAACAUGUGGUUAACAUUUUUAACAGAAGAAACUUUGUGCUUUUUA